rnacentral:rRNA from 1 species
AUUGAACGCUGGCGGCAGGCUUAACACAUGCAAGUCGAGCGGAGAGAGGUAGCUUGCUACUGAUCUUAGCGGCGGACGGGUGAGUAAUGCUUAGGAAUCUGCCUAUUAGUGGGGGACAACAUUUCGAAAGGAAUGCUAAUACCGCAUACGUCCUACGGGAGAAAGCAGGGGAUCUUCGGACCUUGCGCUAAUAGAUGAGCCUAAGUCGGAUUAGCUAGUUGGUGGGGUAAAGGCCUACCAAGGCGACGAUCUGCAGCGGGUCUGAGAGGAUGAUCCGCCACACUGGGACUGAGACACGGCCCAGACUCCUACGGGAGGCAGCAGUGGGGAAUAUUGGACAAUGGGCGCAAGCCUGAUCCAGCCAUGCCGCGUGUGUGAAGAAGGCCUUAUGGUUGUAAAGCACUUUAAGCGAGGAGGAGGCUACUUUAGUUAAUACCUAGAGAUAGUGGACGUUACUCGCAGAAUAAGCACCGGCUAACUCUGUG